rnacentral:rRNA from 1 species
CCUACGGGAGGCAGCAGUGAGGAAUAUUGGUCAAUGGACGAGAGUCUGAACCAGCCAAGUAGCGUGAAGGAUGACUUCCCUAUGGGUUGUAACCUUCUUUUAUAAGGGAAUAAAACGAGGCACGUGUGCCUUUUUGCAUGUACUUUAUGAAUAAGGAUCGGCUAACUCCGUGCCAGCAGCCGCGGUAAUACGGCGGAUCCGAGCGUUAUCCGGAUUUAUUGGGUUUAAAGGGAGCGUAGAUGGGUUGUUAAGUCAGUUGUGAAAGUUUGCGGCUCAACCGUAAAAUUGCAAUUGAUACUGGCAGUCUUGAGUACAGUUGAGGUAGGCGGAAUUCGUGGUGUAGCGGUGAAAUGCUUAGAUAUCACGAAGAACCCCGAUUGCGAAGGCAGCUUACUAAACUGUGACUGACAUUGAUGCUCGAAAGUGUGGGUAUCAAACAGGAUUAGAUACCCUAGUAGUC